AGUCAGCUACCAACUCAGAGCCUUCAUAAAAGCGCACUCUGCGGACAACACAGCCCAAGCUGGUCUUCAUGAACCUCAAAUCCAAGUCAAGGCUGGUUUCCUGGUCAGGAGACUGCCACUGGUCUACAUAAGCUGUUGUUGGUGUUGAUCUGCACGUUUGAGGAAUGAGCAAGUACGUGGUCUAAAUUUCAAAGAUGUAGCCUAUGCCAUCCUCGUUUCUGAGAAGAGUUUUUAGUGCUUGUUUUUUAAAUAGUCCUAUAGGGAAAUGAGGCAGAUGGCAUUGGCUCACGUGAAGAUCCGUUCCUGCCGCGUGUGGUACAGGCCCGGCAGUGGGGAGACCAAGGUAAAAGGAGAUACAGGCACUGUCUUCAGGGAGUUGAUAGUCCAGAGGGGAAGAGACCACAAAAGGGACCCACCGCAGUGCAGCAUGCAUAUUCGUGAACAAGCCACCAUACAGGGCAGGUGUGGAUAGGAGGCUUACCCAGGCCUUGCCUCACAGUGGUCAGCAUGGCAGAAAGGGGGUCACCACUCAAGCACCUCCUUCCCCAAUGCUGACACCUCCCGUGCAGAAAGUCCCUCUACCCCAAGUUGGGCCAUAAUGUCCAGCUGGUUAGUUUGAGCUUGGGUGUCUUUCUCCUACUACUUUUCUGGGAGCCAUGGCCUGAGUCUUGGAAGCAUGCCCUUGGAGGGCCAUCUGGGGUUAGGACUGCUCAGGGCGGUGAAGGCUCUGUGACGCACAAUGAGGAUGUGCUUUGCUUCAAGUGCAAGGUGAGAUGUCUUCCACGUACCUUAUGUAGCCCACCUGGGGCCUGUGCUGCAGGAACCAGCGGUAGGACACCUUGUCCUUCCAGCCCACGUUCCUCGAGUCCUUCCACAGCAGCCGGACCUGGUCACUCGUGUCCCCGGUGUGCCACAGGGAGUUGCGGAGAUGCUCCCCCGGGCCUGUCUUAGACUUAACAGCCUGGAAAGGACAUGAGCACGGAGUGAGGGAGGCAGCGGCUCAGCCCUCCUGUACACAGCUGGCCCCAUCAAGGGAACAGAUUAGCCAGUUAAACUGGUAUGUUGUGCCUGGUGACAUACCCCCAAAUCUCUCCCAACUCUUGAGCCCUACUCACACUGACAUUUUCACCAUCAGUCACCCAUAGGUUAGGACAGAGCUUAUACCCAAGAAUGAAGGCCAAGCCCUGGGUGUGCUGUAGCACAAACACCUCGAUUUCACAGAUGAACUAAAUGCCACAUGGGACAACAGAGGAUUUAAAUUAGGGCUCCGAAGAGAGAUGAGUAUCUUAGAGCUGUUGGUACCUUAAGCUGG